AUCGAACUCGGAUAUAGCUGGUUCUCCCCGAAAUAGGUUUACGCCUAGCCUCGUGGUAAAGCUUCUUGGAGGUAGAGCACUGAAUAGACGAUGGCGUCGUAUAGAUGUACUGAAUUUAAUCAAACUCCGAAUGCCAGGAAAGUAUACACGGGAGUCAGUGUAUGGGUGAUAACGUCCAUACGCGAGAGGAAAACAAUCCAGACCACCAGCUAAGGUCCCAAAUUUCAUGUUAAGUGGGAAAGGAUGUGGAGUUGUCUAAACAGCUAGGAGGUUGGCUUAGAAGCAGCCAUCCUUUAAAGAGUGCGUAAUAGCUCACUAGUCGAAUGACACUGCGCCGAAAAUGUACCGGGGCUAAACAUGAAACCGAAGCUGUGGAUUUUAUAGAUAAUAUAAAAUGGUAGGGGAGCGUUCUAAUUGCGACGAAGAUGGAUCGUGAGGACUGUUGGAGCGAUUAGAAGUGAGAAUGCCGGUGUGAGUAGCGCAAGAAGGGUGAGAAUCCCUUCCACCGUUUGCCUAAGGGUUCCUGGGGAAGGUUCGUCCUCCCAGGGUAAGUCGGGUCCUAAGACGAGGCCGAAAGGCGUAGCCGAUGGACAACAGGUUGAUAUUCCUGUACCACCUAUAUAACUGAUGGAGUGACGAAGGAGGCUAUAGAAAGCCAGUUAAUGGAUUCUGGUCUAAGCACAAAGGUGUACAUAUAGGCAAAUCCGUAUGUAAUGUAGCUGAAGUGUUAUGGUGAAGGUAAUAGCAAUAUUACUGAAAUUUCUAGACGCCAAACUUCCAAGAAAAGCUUCUAGGGUUAAUUAUAUAGGUGCCCGUACCCAGAACCGACACAGGUAGGCAAGGAGAGUAUCCUAAGGUGAGCGAGAGAACUAUGGUUAAGGAACUCGGCAAAAUGACCCCGUAACUUCGGGAGAAGGGGUGGUCUAGCGAUAGACCCGCAGUAAAGAGUCCCAGGCAACUGUUUACCAAAAACACAGCUCUCUGCUAAAUCGAAAGAUGAUGUAUAGGGGGUGACACUUGCCCAGUGCUGGAAGGUUAAGAGGAGAGGUUAGUAAUGACUUCGGUUAUAUUUACGAAGCUUCGAAUUGAAGCCCCAGUGAACGGCGGCCGUAACUAUAACGGUCCUAAGGUAGCGAAAUUCCUUGUCAGGUAAGUUCUGACCCGCACGAAAAGUGUAAUGAUCUGGGAACUGUCUCAACCAUAGACUCGGUGAAAUCUUAAUACCUGUGAAAAUGCAGGUUACCCGCGACAGGACGGAAAGACCCCAUGGAGCUUUACUGUAGCUUGAUAUUGGAUCUUGAUGUGUUAUGUAGAGGAUAGGUGGGAGACUAUGAUGUUAGGACGCUAGUUCUAACGGAGUCAACCUUGGAAUACCACCCUUAACAUGUUGAGAUUCUAACCUCGACCCAUUAUCUGGGUCAGGGACAGUGUCUGGUGGGCAGUUUGACUGGGGCGGUCGCCUCCCAAAAAGUAACGGAGGCGCUCAAAGGUUCCCUCAGAAUGGUUGGAAAUCAUUCGAAGAGCGUAAUGGUAUAAGGGAGCUUUACUGCGAGACCUACAAGUCAAGCAGUUACGAAAGUAGGACAUAGUGGGCCGGCGAUUCAGAAUGGAAUGGUCGUCGCUUAACGGAUAAAAG
rnacentral:rRNA from 1 species